ACAACCUUGCGUCGCUGCUCCUCCCUUCCCCUCCUCCCCUCCCGUGCGCUCCCUCCCAUCCAACCCGCCUCCGCUCGCCGCGUGCGCUCCUGCAAGCCGUCGAUGACCUCCUCUGUUGGUCAGCUGUGCUCAGCGCCUCCUUUCUCUCCCCCUCUCCUCACUAACCGCUCUCCCUCUUUCUGUUCCCGCGCAGGACGCCAUGGCCAUGGACCAAAGCUCCGCCGAACCUUCCAUCGCGACUGCCAACCUUCCUCCCGACCCGAUCACUGACACGGCUGCUGCGGUCCGGGCUGGCCGCCGUCUUGUUUUGCGGGUUAGUGGCCACGUUUUCCUGCUAGACAGUGGCCGCCACUUCCUGCUAGAUUAGCGGACAUGGAGAAGGAGGAAGAAGCUGCAGUAAUCAUAAGCGUGGUGAACGAGGCAGAGGAUACAGGAUGAUGGGUAUGAAUCACGAGAUAAACUUCAACUGGAAAAAAAAAGGAUUCUAAGAGCAAAUCUUCCCAACAAACAGCAGAACAGAGGCCCCCUUUUCAAAUGUCUGAAGAUAGUUAUCUCAUAACUGACAGUCAGAGGGAUAAAUUCAGCUCCAUAACUUGCAUGUGAUAUAUACUCGAAGGCAUGAAGACGGUUAUUUGAAUAAUACUCCAGGAAACUUAAGACAUGAUGGUUCCGUUUUGGACGAAAAAGGAAAGUAGCACCAAUGCUUAGGUGAUUAACUGCAGAUCAAACAAUUUUUAUCCCCUGUUUGGGCAAUAUGGAAGUACACAUGGUUAUUGUUAAUCAUUAAAUCCCCAGAGUUGCAGAGGAGUUCUACACUAUUUCAGCAGUCCAUUUAGAGCAUGUCAAAUGGAGCAUCUUAUUUAGGGGUAAAAUCAACUUCCCUCUGAAGUCUACUGCUGGUCACACUCGUUUAUAUGGUGGUCUGACCUGGUAACACUCUUUCAUACAUAUUUUCUCUUGGGUAAUUUGCUUCACCUAAGCUUCAGUAGCACUUUCUAUCAUGUAUUGUGAAUUUGUGAUUCACCUUUAAUGUUAGUCUUUUGUGCAUGGCUCCUUGAGUUCAUAUCUUCUAUUGGCGUAUGAAAACUAUCAUUUUUGGUCAGAUGAUAUAACUCUAUUCAUGCUAUCAAUUUAUCUUUCUCACUAUAUGGUAGUCUGACUCUGACCUGACCUGUUUGUGUCAUGGGAAAAGGGAAUUUUCAUUCUUUUUCACUUUUCUCUUGUUUUUUAAAUAUAUUAUUUUUAGUUGUAUAUUAUAGAGGGAUUGGGCAUGGAGGUUUCAGAUCCACAUGCAAGCGUUUGUGUAUAUACUGUACCUCUGUAUAUCUUUCCAAAUUCCAUCUUGCAUUACCAUACAUUUUUAAAAGAAUGGUUGUUUUGUGAGCCAUUCGUGUACUUAUGUUGUGUUGCCACUGACCAUGAGUAUAUAACAAUUUGUUGGACAAAAGUAUUCUUGUGGUUUGUGCCAAGGUUGGGCACCAUCUUAAAAUAUAAAAUGAUAACGUUGCCACACAUUUUUAUUUUAAGGGCCAACAAGAAAUGAUUUCUUCCGGCAGCAUAACAAAGAACCAUUGGGUGGAUGCAACACCCGAAUGCCUUUUUGACUAAAUCCUUUCAAUGAAUUAACUAAUUACAGUGGCAGAGCUAGAUAGGGAUAGCUUGAGAGGCGCAAAGGGCAAAUACAUCAAUUCCUGAGCGGUCCAAAGCCUAUAAUAUGUUGAAUUAAGCACCCCAAGAGAAUUUUUAUUCACAAAUUUUGUCAAGGUUGGGGGUUUAAUAUUCUUUACAAAAGAAAAUGGUUUGGGGUGAAGAGAUGAAGGCCUGAAGCCAAUGUUUCUAAUCAGGAAGAUGAGCCGCACAACUCCUUUGAAACAAGGCCAAGGCUAUGUGCCAAAAUUAAAGAUCGCAAAUAUGUUUACUUUGGUCCAAUAUCCUAUAGCAGCGUAUUGCUUCAUGCAUGCACUUUUUAUCAUUCAUUUUUAUUAUUCAAAUCUCUAUAUGGUCGUCAUAGAUGCUUCUAUUACAUGGAUUCAUUAUCAUUUUUCAUGUGUUGUUGUAAAUAGAACUCACUCAUAUAU